CUUUGUAAAUUUUCAUCAGGAAUUAGUUGUUUUCAUAAGUGACAAAAGUAAUUUUGAGAAACUCCCACUUUCGGGUGCAUGAUGCAUGAGAUAAGCCCUAUACUACUAAUUUAAGCACAAAAAUUAAUGCAUUAAAUCAUGAGAUAAGUCCUGUUAUAAUUUUUGCACAAUUAAUGCAUUAAAUACUUCUCCAUGAUCUCCACCAAUCUGCCUCUAUAUAAAUGCAACGAAUGAAAGAGCAUUGCAACUUCAUCAGGCUUUCUUUUUGGGUCCUCAUGGCAGUCUUCAGGAACAAUGUGGCUGUUGCCGUAUGGUUGGGGGCUCUCAUGCUCAUGGCAACCCUUUCUGCCUCAGAAGGAAACCCAGCCUUUAUUGGAUGUUUCGAGGUCCACCAGAACUGCUUCCCUGAUGACUGUCAGAAGAGAUGCGAGGACGAUCUUGGAAAAGAUACGUUAAGUGAAUGCGAGCGGGAUCAUGGCGUACUACAACCGUAUCCCGGGCUUCAGUGUUGUUGUUAUCGAAAGGACGGUACCCGAAAAUGAUAAACAGGGUGUUUAGUUGAUGAUGGGCAGAUGAUAGAACACAUCCAUAUAUAUGAUUGUCUGUUCGAUCCGCCUGUUGUAGUGUAGAUCUAAUAAAUGAAUGUCUUUCACGACAAUCAUAUUAACAAAGGCAUUAGCUCUUGCAUUGAGAGAUAAUUGUAAGAUAUAUUUUUGACGCUCGUGGAA